GAUUGUUUUGUUAGUCACUAAAGAAAUGUCUAAAUAUGUCUAAAUAAGAUUGCUAAAUUAUGUAUAAGACUGGCUGUCUAAAGGCCAAUAAAUUACAUUAUCAAUAUUUUGUGGUUUACCUCUAACUUUAUUGAGCUGUAAACUACUUGCACAUUUAUCGGUUGUGGGUUGUUAAUCAAAUAUACUGUGACCACAAAGUUACACCUCCAAGAGUUUCAGGUGAGAGUCCAGCAGAAUUUUUAUAAAGUGCUCUGACAUUGUAGAACAGUAAUCAGUACUUUGUCUCUUUCUAGAUGCAGCCCCGUAGGUCACCGUGUUUUCUAUACCGAGAUGCCUUUUGGGUUCAGAGGGAUGCAGUGGUAACCCUCAUCCCCUGCACAUCUUCACUGGAGGUUUAUUUACAAUGUACAAUCCAGACACAGCAGGUGCAGCAUACUGAAAGGAUUUCCUAGCUGGCUUUAGAAUAUAUGAAUAUCAGAAGAGUGCCCUGAGGUAAAGAAGAUACCACUUUUUAAGGAAAAGAUCCAAUUUGGGAAGCAAGACCUGUGCUUUCCAUGGCCGGAUAGAUACCGGCAAUUUUUCUCUCUCUUCAGAGGACUGAAGAUAAUUUUGGUUUUCUACCCAGGGCCCUGCUUUUCAACUUCCAAAGUCCUAUGUAAAGGUAAAGUUAUUUUAAUUUCCUCCCACAGGUUCCUCCUUCUUCUGGAGCCUUUAUUAUCCCUUACUGUUCGGCUCUGAAGAGCCUACUAACGAACAGCGACUUCUAACAAAAAAGGAAAUGAAACCGAUCUACGACACAGAUUCAUGGAAACAUACUUGAUGGCUAUUUAAUCACUUGUCAAAGAUCAAUAAUGUGCAUAAUAACAAUGAAUUAUUACUCUAGUUUUCAGAGUCCAUACCCUAUUUUUCGUAUUCUACAUCCUCCUGGUUUUUAUUAUAAUUCUUAUCGAAUACUGAAGAGUAGCAGAAUAUGCCGCCUGAAAAUGGCACUCUGGCAUAAGGAUUAAUUUGAGCUGAUGGCAACUGAGAAGAGGCAGCUACAAGGAAAGCUCUCUGCGUUCCCCCAUUUGCCGAAAAGCAGGACCUAAAUUUGUAAAGGUGUCCUGUCUCCUCUCUACCAGGAAGGACCGAAGUUAGUCACCUGGGACAACUCUAAACUCUAGACCCUGAUGAGCCCAGAGAUGGCAGGCGAGGAAUCUUUACAACAGAGGUGACUAAUCACCCUUAUCUUCCAUUAUUUCCCCAUGUAUUUACCUUCCCACAAUUUGCUGCCCUGGAAACUCAAAGUCCUUUCCUUUGUCUUAUCACUUCUCUAAAAAUGUUUUGUUCUUUGUUAAGAUGCCAAGUAAGCCCAAGUUCUAACCACCCCUUUGAGUUACUCCUCACCAAGUGCUCCCUUGUAUAUGGGAGACACACAUGUUAAUAAACUUCUGUUUUUCUCUUGUGGAUCUCUCCUUGCAGGGCCCCAGCCAGAGAACUUAGGAGGGUGCGGGAGAAAGGUUUUGUUCCUUCCCCUACAAGAAUAAAGCUUGGUGUUAUAAAUAUUACACUUCUUCCUCCCCUAUAAUAUUAUAUAAAUAUUACAUUCUUUUUCCCCCU